GCAAUCAUGAAGGGAAUACUGGUGGCACUGGCGCUUUUACAGUUGGUACUUCUAAGCAAAGGCUGGCCUAAAACACGGAGGAUUGGUUGGGACUCAAAGUUGUCCACAACGUUGACUCGAACUUGUCCACUAAAUCCAAAGCUCGCGGCCUGGAAGAAAGCUGUACGUCUGGCGCUUAAACGCGACCGGGGAAAGAGAGGGUUGGCG